GAGUUUGAUCCUGGCUCAGGACGAACGCUGGCGGCGUGCUUAACACAUGCAAGUCGAACGAUGAAGCCUUUCGGGGUGGAUUAGUGGCGAACGGGUGAGUAACACGUGGGCAAUCUGCCCUUCACUUCGGGACAAGCCCUGGAAACGGGGUCUAAUACCGGAUAAUACUUCUCCUCUCAUGGGGGGAAGUUGAAAGCUCCGGCGGUGAAGGAUGAGCCCGCGGCCUAUCAGCUAGUUGGUGGGGUAAUGGCCUACCAAGGCGACGACGGGUAGCCGGCCUGAGAGGGCGACCGGCCACACUGGGACUGAGACACGGCCCAGACUCCUACGGGAGGCAGCAGUGGGGAAUAUUGCACAAUGGGCGAAAGCCUGAUGCAGCGACGCCGCGUGAGGGAUGACGGCCUUCGGGUUGUAAACCUCUUUCAGCAGGGAAGAAGCGCAAGUGACGGUACCUGCAGAAGAAGCACCGGCUAACUACGUGCCAGCCGCCGCGGUAAUA
rnacentral:rRNA from 1 species